UACAUGGGGUGCAAACGUUGCUCGGAAUUAUUGGGCGUAAAGCGCACGUAGGUGGUCUGUUAUGUCAGAUGUGAAAGCCCUCGGCUUAACUGAGGAAGUGCACCUGAAACUGGCAGGCUUGAGUACGAAAGAGGGUCGCGGAAUUCCCGGUGUAGAGGUGAAAUUCGUAGAUAUCGGGAGGAACACCGAUGGCGAAGGCAAUCCCCUGGGCCUGCACUGACGCUCAUGCACGAAAGCGUGGGGAGCAAACAGG
rnacentral:rRNA from 1 species